CCUACGGGAGGCAGCAGUAGGGAAUAUUGCUCAAUGGGGGAAACCCUGAAGCAGCAACGCCGCGUGGAGGAUGAAGGUUUUCGGAGUUUAAACUCCCUUUGUUAGAGAAGAUAAUGACAGUAUCUAACGAAUAAGCACCGGCUAACUCCGUGCCAGCAGCCGCGGUAAUACGGAGGGUGCAAGCGUUACUCGGAAUCACGGGGCGUAAAGGGCGCGUAGGCGGGAUAGCAAGUCAGAUGUGAAAUCCUAUGGCUUAACCAUAGAACUGCAUUUGAAACUGUUAUUCUAGAGUAUGGGAGAGGUAGGUGGAAUUCUUGGUGUAGGGGUGAAAUCCGUAGAGAUCAAGAGGAAUACUGAUUGCGAAGGCGACCUGCUAGACCAUAACUGACGCUGAUGCGCGAAAGCGUGGGGAGCAAACAGGAUUAGAUACCCUUGUAGUC
rnacentral:rRNA from 1 species